CCUACGGGAGGCAGCAGUGGGGAAUCUUGCGCAAUGCGCGAAAGCGUGACGCAGCGACGCCGCGUGCGGGAAGAAGGCCUUCGGGUUGUAAACCGCUUUCAGGAGGGACGAAGCCACUCGGGUUAAUAGCCCAGAGGGUGACGGUACCUCCAGAAGAAGCCCCGGCUAACUACGUGCCGGCAGCCGCGGUAAUACGUAGGGGGCAAGCGUUGUCCGGAUUUAUUGGGCGUAAAGAGCGUGUAGGCGGCCAGAUAGGUCAGCUGUGAAAACUCGAGGCUUAACCUCGAGAUGUCGGCUGAAACCAUUUGGCUAGAGUCCGGAAGAGGAGAAUGGAAUUCCCGGUGUAGCGGUGAAAUGCGCAGAUAUCGGGAAGAACACCCGUGGCGAAGGCGGUUCUCUGGGACGGUACUGACGCUGAGACGCGAAAGCGUGGGGAGCGAACAGGAUUAGAUACCCUGGUAGUCCACGCUGUAAACGAUGUGUGCUAGACGUUGGGGAGCCUAGCUCUUCGGUGUCGCAGCUAACGCGGUAAGCACACCGCCCGGGGAGUACGGCCGCAAGGUUAAAACUCGAAGGAAUUGACGGGGGCCCGCACAAGCGGUGGAGCAUGUGGUUUAAUUCGACGCAACGCGCAGAACCUUACCAGCCCUUGACAUGUCCGGUAUGGGCGCCAGAGAUGGCGUUCUUCAGUUCAGCUGGCCGGAACACAGGUGCUGCAUGGCUGUCGUCAGCUCGUGUCGUGAGAUGUUGGGUUAAGUCCCGCAACGAGCGCAACCCUCGCCCUUAGUUGCCACCAUUCAGUUGGGCACUCUAAGGGGACUGCCGGUGAUAAGCCGCGAGGAAGGUGGGGAUGACGUCAAGUCCUCAUGGCCCUUACGGGCUGGGCUACACACGUGCUACAAUGGCGGUGACAGUGGGAUGCGAUGGAGCGAUCCUGAGCAAUCUCAAAAGCCGUCUCAGUUCGGAUUGUGCUCUGCAACUCGAGCACAUGAAGUCGGAUCGCU
rnacentral:rRNA from 1 species